CCCUUAGAUGUUCUGGGCCGCACGCGCGCUACACUGUUUGAUUCAGCGAGUCUUAACCUUGACCGAAAGGUUUGGGUAAUCUUCUAAAGUCAAACGUGAUGGGGAUCGAUCAUUGCAAUUAUUGAUCGUGAACGAGGAAUUCCUAGUAAAUGCAAGUCAUCAGCUUGCGUUGAUUACGUCCCUGCCCUUUGUACACACCGCCCGUCGCUACUACCGAUUGAAUGGUUUAGUGAGAAUUUUGGACUGGAACUCCCUUGCUCAGCAAUGGGCGAGGGGGAGUCCGGGAAGCUAUUCUAACUGUAUCAUUUAGAGGAAGUAAAAGUCGUAACA
rnacentral:rRNA from 1 species